rnacentral:rRNA from 1 species
AACGAACGCUGGCGGCGCGUCUUAAGCAUGCAAGUCGAACGGCAUGAGGAAGCUUGCUUCCUCAGAGAGUGGCGGACUGGUGAGUAACACGUGGGUGACCUACCCUUGAGAUGGGGAUAGCCGUUAGAAAUAGCGGAUAAUACCGAAUACGCUCUACGGACUCUGGUUUGUAGAGGAAACAGGCUACGGCCUGGCUCGAGGAUGGGCCCGCGUCCCAUUAGCUAGUUGGUGAGGUAAGAGCCCACCAAGGCGACGAUGGGUAUCCGGCCUGAGAGGGUGUACGGACACAUUGGGACUGAGAUACGGCCCAAACUCCUACGGGAGGCAGCAGCUAAGAAUAUUCCGCAAUGGACGAAAGUCUGACGGAGCGACGCCGCGUGGAUGACGAAGGCCGAAAGGUUGUAAAAUCCUUUUGCUGAUGAAGAAUAAGCGUGGUAGGGAAUGACCGCGUGAUGACAUUAGUCGGUGAAUAAGCCCCGGCUAACUACGUGCCAGCAGCCG